GAUCCUGGCUCAGGAUGAACGCUAGCUACAGGCUUAAUACAUGCAAGUCGAGGGGCAGCAUUUUAGUUUGCUUGCAAACUGAAGAUGGCGACCGGCGCACGGGUGAGUAACACGUAUCCAACCUGCCGAUAACUCCGGAAUAGCCUUUCGAAAGAAAGAUUAAUACCGGAUAGUAUACGAAUAUCGCAUGAUAUUUUUAUUAAAGAAUUUCGGUUAUCGAUGGGGAUGCGUUCCAUUAGUUUGUUGGG
rnacentral:rRNA from 1 species